GUGAGGAAUUUUCCGCAAUGGGCGAAAGCCUGACGGAGCAAUGCCGCGUGAAGGAUGAAGGCCUAUGGGUUGUAAACUUCUUUUCUCAGAAAAGAAUUAUGACGGUAUCUGAGGAAUAAGCAUCGGCUAACUCUGUGCCAGCAGCCGCGGUAAGACAGAGGAUGCAAGCGUUAUCCGGAAUGAUUGGGCGUAAAGCGUCUGUAGGUUGUUUAAAAAGUAUUCUGUCAAAGAUUAGGGCUUAACCCUAGAUAGGCAGAAUAAACUUUUAAGCUAGAGUUUGGUAGAGGCAGAGGGAAUUCCCGGUGGAGCGGUGAAAUGCGUAGAUAUCGGGAGGAACACCAAAGGCGAAGGCACUCUGCUGGGCCAAUACUAACACUGAGAGACGAAAGCGAGGGGAGCAAAUGGGAUUAGAUACCCAAGUAGUCA
rnacentral:rRNA from 1 species